rnacentral:rRNA from 1 species
AUGUUCCUAUUUUCGAGCUCUAAUAGGAUGGUGUUGUUGUCGCCUUGUCGGCAUAUAUUUCUGAUAGUAGGAGAAUUCUUUUUCUUGCUUCACAAUAAUUGUUGCGCUUUGUGUAUAUAUGAAUCCAAAUCCAUAUUUAAAUGGGUGCUAAAUGUUUUUGCGGCAUGGUGGACUUUGGAGACUAGCGCUUUUAUAGUAUUGUCACACACUCUGUUUUUUACUAACCAAAAUUGUUUCAUCAACACUGCCCUACUGUUUUUGAUGCACAAAAUUAGUCAAUCAACACAUUGGUCUGCUGAAAAUCAACCCAUUGGACUGCAACCAUACUAA